rnacentral:misc_RNA from 1 species
UCCGGUUUGUCACCGGCAGUCUGGCGUGAGUCCCCAACUUAAUGCUGGCAACACGCCACGGGGGUUGCGCUCGUUGCGGGACUUAACCCAACAUCUCACGACACGAGCUGACGACAGCCAUGCAGCACCUGUGGUGCACCCUCGAAGGUCACACGUUUCCGUGCGCUUGCAGCACCAUGUCAAGCCCAGGUAAGGUGGGGAUGACGUGUAGGAACACCAAC